ensembl:lncRNA
CUUGCACAAGGUAAUGGAGAAGGAAAGGAUUUUAUCCUUCCAUGCUUAAAUGAACAACAAGGGCUUGGAAGUGAUUUUCCACUGGUGGGAAGUGAACUGAACCACAACAAUAGCACCUGGACUCAAAUCACAUCAAGCAGUACAGCAUUUACAGAAAAUUAAGAUGAGAACUGGCACAAAUGGCUCUGUACCUCCUAUUGCAGGAGUCAUUCCUCAUGGGACAGUCUAAAGAGAUCACUGGGAAAAGAAUGAAUUCAACAGACUGACUCGUGGAGCAGCCUGAUCAGAAGAGCUGAGCUUCAGACGCAAGUCUGGCUAGCUAACCAGGGCUGGGCAGAUUCCCACCGUAUAACUUGGCAGGAGGAAUGAAGGUUCGGACUACUCGAGGGAGACCGCAGGAGAAACCUGGACACCCUUGGUAUGGGAGUUUCCAGAAGACUGAAAUAUUAAAGGAAUCCUGAAAAAUUCAGUUACGAGCAUCUGGGCUGGGCUUCAAAUGACUUUAAUGGCAAAACAAUGGCUCAUUGUCAGUGCUUUCAUUCAGGUAAACUUUGUUUUUGGCUAGAAGACUCCAUCUCCUCCAGCUGCAGAUGGAGAGGGGAAGCCUUCGCAAAGUUUUCAAUCCCGUAACUCAGCAAUGAAUAAAAAAUUCUGGCAGGAGAGAACCAUGUAAUGAUGAAGAAUAAUGAAACAGUAACAAUACAUCUCCAAUCAAUAAGAAUGUUCUCUUUGUAAGAACAUAUUCCUUAUUUGAUAUAGAUCAGGUAGCUUGUGCAGAAGAGGGGAGUUAACAGUUUUCAGUCUGGUGCAGGAGAAAGACUAAAUGAUGAUGUGAAAUUACAUGGAACACUUAAUCACAGAGAUCAAGAGGGUGUGUGGUUUUUUGUAACUACAGCUUUAAAAAUUGUAUUAUCCCAAUAUAAUUCCCAUUGUCACUGUCAGUGUGAAGUGUCUAAGUGCCUAAUAUAUCUAACACAGAUGUGCCAAAGGGCGACAAUUAAAUCAUUCUGCACUCAUCUUCUGGUACCAAUCAACUUUUUCUUCUCUUAAUGAACAGACACAUGCUGUUUUAUACAGACUCUGAUUGACUGGUUGAUAUGAAAACAUGAUGUGGCAGGAGCUGGUGAAAAAUGUUCAUUAUUCUUGCUGUGGAACUACAAUAGAAGUGAGUAAUUGCUUCUGAUUGGGGCAGCCCC